CGGAAGGGAGGCAGGACUUUCACGAGAUGCUGAGCCUGGGGUGUUGGCUGGGGGGUGGGGGCAGCCCCCAGACCCUCCCGCUCUCCUAUACGCCUGACAGCCCUGCUUUGCUGUACAUCCCUGGGCAAGUGGCUGCUCCUCUUUGAGCCCGAGUUCAACCUUCAUCAUACAGAACGGCAGAUGGGACAUUGAGAGCGGCCAUACAUUCUGAGCUCUGGAUUUGGGCGGGACAGCUUUCCCAGACCCACUGUGUGCCCGAGUCUGUCACCCAGCCUAUCCUUUGCUGCUCUCAGCAGCCCUAUGACGCAGUGACUCUUACUGUACCUAUUUUGCAGAGUGGAAAGCGGAGAUCCAGGGAGCCCUCUCUGUCCUACACAAAGAGACUUGAGAUGCAAUGGGACACUUGGCUGCCUGGGAAGCACUCUUUGUCCUGCACUUCUGGGAACAAAUGACCCAGAAAAAACUCUUGCCACCCAGCCCCUGUCCUGUGCAGGUUCUGGGCUGCUGGGGCCUGUCGUGACAACCGUCUGUCUACCUCCCCCACCUUCCUGCAUUUCUCCACUGGGGGAUUUGGCCUAGAGAAGAAAUCAAGAAUGUCACCUCAUUGAGAGUUUUGCCUCGGUCGUCCCCGUGUCCCUGUGGCCUGGAACAGUGUCUGGUACACAGUAAAUAUCUGUGGCAUGAAUGAAUGGAUGGA